rnacentral:rRNA from 1 species
ACGUAGGGUGCGAGCGUUGUCCGGAAUUAUUGGGCGUAAAGAGCUUGUAGGCGGUUUGUCGCGUCUGCCGUGAAAGCCCAGGGCUUAACCCUGGGUCUGCGGUGGGUACGGGCAGGCUAGAGUGUGGUAGGGGAGACUGGACUUCCUGGUGUAGCGGUGAAAUGCGCAGAUAUCAGGAGGAACACCGAUGGCGAAGGCAGGUCUCUGGGCCACUACUGACGCUGAGAAGCGAAAGCAUGGGGAGCGAACAGGA